UGUACACUCCUACGGGAGGCAGCAGUGGGGAAUAUUGGACAAUGGGCGCAAGCCUGAUCCAGCCAUGCCGCGUGAGUGAUGAAGGCCCUAGGGUUGUAAAGCUCUUUCACCGGUGAAGAUAAUGACGGUAACCGGAGAAGAAGCCCCGGCUAACUUCGUGCCAGCAGCCGCGGUAAUACGAAGGGGGCUAGCGUUGUUCGGAUUUACUGGGCGUAAAGCGCACGUAGGCGGACUAUUAAGUCAGGGGUGAAAUCCCGGGGCUCAACCCCGGAACUGCCUUUGAUACUGGUAGUCUUGUGGUCGAGAGAGGAGAGUGGAAUUCCGAGUGUAGAGGUGAAAUGCGUAGAUAUUCGGAGGAACACCAGUGGCGAAGGCGGCUCACUGGCUCGAUACUGACGCUGAGGUGCGAAAGCGUGGGGAGCAAACAGGAUUAGAAACCCCGGUAGUCCCAUGAU
rnacentral:rRNA from 1 species